CCCUCGAUAGCUCAGUUGGAAGAGCGUGGGACUGUAAUUGGAAAAUUGUCAAUCCCGAGGUCACUGGUUCGAUCCCGGUUUGAGGGA
rfam:Botryobasidium botryosum FD-172 SS1 unplaced genomic scaffold BOTBOscaffold_13, whole genome shotgun sequence.